rnacentral:rRNA from 1 species
GGGUUGUGAGGUUAAGCGACUAAGCGUACACGGUGGAUGCCCUGGCAGUCAGAGGCGAUGAAGGACGUGCUAAUCUGCGAUAAGCGCCGGUAAGGUGAUAUGAACCGUUAUAACCGGCGAUUUCCGAAUGGGGAAACCCAGUGUGAUUCGUCACACUAUCAUUAACUGAAUCCAUAGGUUAAUGAGGCGAACCGGGGGAACUGAAACAUCUAAGUACCCCGAGGAAAAGAAAUCAACCGAGAUUCCCCCAGUAGCGGCGAGCGAACGGGGAGGAGCCCAGAGCCUGAAUCAGCAUGUGUGUUAGUGGAAGCGUCUGGAAAGGCGCGCGAUACAGGGUGACAGCCCCGUACACAAAAGCGCAUGUGCUGUGAGCUCGAUGAGUAGGGCGGGACACGUGGUAUCCUGUCUGAAUAUGGGGGGACCAUCCUCCAAGGCUAAAUACUCCUGACUGACCGAUAGUGAACCAGUACCGUGAGGGAAAGGCGAAAAGAACCCCGGCGAGGGGAGUGAAAAAGAACCUGAAACCGUGUACGUACAAGCAGUGGGAGCACAGGUUUACCUGUGUGACUGCGUACCUUUUGUAUAAUGGGUCAGCGACUUAUAUUCUGUAGCAAGGUUAACCGUAUAGGGGAGCCGGAGGGAAACCGAGUCUUAACCGGGCGUUAAGUUGCAGGGUAUAGACCCGAAACCCGGUGAUCUAGCCAUGGGCAGGUUGAAGGUUGGGUAACACUAACUGGAGGACCGAACCGACUAAUGUUGAAAAAUUAGCGGAUGACCUGUGGCUGGGGGUGAAAGGCCAAUCAAACCGGGAGAUAGCUGGUUCUCCCCGAAAGCUAUUUAGGUAGCGCCUCGUGAAUUCAUCUCCGGGGGUAGAGCACUGUUUCGGC